GACACUCUUAGGGAAUGCUGCCAUUUGA
rnacentral:piRNA from 2 species